UACGUAGGGACCGAGCGUUGUCCGGAUUUAUUGGGCGUAAAGAGCGUGUAGGCGGCCUGACAGGUCUGCUGUGAAAACUCGAGGCUCAACCUCGAGAUGUCGGCGGAAACCGUCUGGCUAGAGUCCGGAAGAGGAGAGUGGAAUUCCUGGUGUAGCGGUGAAAUGCGCAGAUAUCAGGAAGAACACCUAUGGCGAAGGCAGCUCUCUGGGACGGUACUGACGCUGAGACGCGAAAGCGUGGGGAGCGAACAGG
rnacentral:rRNA from 1 species